rnacentral:rRNA from 1 species
GACUCCUACGGGAGGCAGCAGUGAGGAAUAUUGGACAAUGGAGGCAACUCUGAUCCAGCCAUGCCGCGUGAAGGACGAAGGCCCUAUGGGUCGUAAACUUCUUUUGUCGUAGAGCAAUAAGGUGUACGUGUACAUCGAUGAGAGUAUACGACGAAUAAGCAUCGGCUAACUCCGUGCCAGCAGCCGCGGUAAUACGGAGGAUGCAAGCGUUAUCCGGAUUUAUUGGGUUUAAAGGGUGCGUAGGCGGACGUAUAAGUCAGCGGUGAAAGGUACCGGCUCAACCGGUGAGCUGCCGUUGAAACUGUGCGACUGGAAUGCGGAUGCCGUGGGAGGAAUGUGUGGUGUAGCGGUGAAAUGCUUAGAUAUCACACAGAACACCGAUUGCGAAGGCAUCUCACGAAUCCGUUAUUGACGCUGAGGCACGAAGGCGUGGGGAUCAAACAGGAUUAGAUACCCUGGUAGUCCACGCGGUAAACGAUGAUGGCUAACUGCCGGCGAUACAUUGUCGGUGGCCAAGCGAAAGCGAUAAGCCAUCCACCUGGGGAGUACGACCGCAAGGUUGAAACUCAAAGGAAUUGACGGGGGCCCGCACAAGCGGAGGAACAUGUGGUUUAAUUCGAUGAUACGCGAGGAACCUUACCCGGGCUCGAACGGCUGAGGAAUGAAUUAGAGAUAGUUCAGUCCGCAAGGACUUCAGUCGAGGUGCUGCAUGGUUGUCGUCAGCUCGUGCCGUGAGGUGUCGGCUCAAGUGCCAUAACGAGCGCAACCCUUGUCGUCAGUUACCAUCAAGUAAAGUUGGGGACUCUGGCGAGACUGCCACCGCAAGGUGAGAGGAAGGGGGGGAUGACGUCAAAUCAGCACGGCCCUUACGUCCGGGGCGACACACGUGUUACAAUGGUGGGUACAGAGGGAGGCUACCUGGUGACAGGAUGCGGAACCCGAAAACCCAUCUCAGUUCGGAUUGGAGUCUGCAACUCGACUCCAUGAAGCUGGAUUCGCUAGUAAUCGCGCAUCAGCCAUGGCGCGGUGAAUACGUUCCCGGGCCUUGUACACACCGCCCGUCAAGCCA